CAAUGUGCGUCAUUGAGGACGGAACGGCCGCCGCGCCGCGGCCAUACCCAUUUCGCGAAGUGCCGCCGAGCGUCGAGGCGGCAAUAAUCCCCGCAGUAACUCGGCUACAAAUAAUACGCGUUGAAAUUAGAGAAGUUUAUGGUAACGCGCGGAGCCUCGCUGUGGCCGCUUCCGGACCACGUUGAAAACAGUUCUGGCGCUUAGGGUAUCGUUCGCGACCCGUUAACGGUCCGAAGGCCACCGCUACCUGUGAUUAAACUGUGUCGUGGUGGUGGACGGCGAUGGACGAACCAUGAAAGAACUAGGAUAAGUCUUGCAGUUUGAUGCAAGCGAUGGUUGGCCGAGGUAUCUUCGCGCGGAGAACCGGUUCCAGGAAGCCAAGAAGCGUCGACGGAAGCGUGCGUGCGUGCAGUCACGCGUGCGCAUCCACGUCCUUCGCGAAGACGCAUAAGUCGCCACGGAUAAUUGGCUGGCGGCCCGCGGCCUGCGGCUCGAUGCCAUCGAUUUCCACCACCUGCUCGGCCGUAUUGCUGCGUCGAACGCUACCGCAAUAUUUAUUCGCGGACUUCUAGACGGAUCCGAGGGACGAACGGCGUGCCGUCGACUCUCCGCGGAAAAAUUCGGCAUUACUUUGCUGGAGCUGAUAAUGGCCAGUUGGAACGGGGCCCAGCAAAACAGUUUACGAACGAACACCCUUGCUCCUCAUUAUCUUACAUUUUAUUGCCGCUUUCGGGAUUCCUGGUUGGCCCACGGCUGUCCGAGAGAAGUUAUUUUGCUUUUUACUUUGGCCACAUCGCGUAGACGAAGACUUCGAUGGAAAAACCAUCUAGCUUCUUUUUUAUCACAAACAAGAUGCACCAAUGAUUGCGAAUAAACGCACUCUUAACGUUUAAGCACUUCGUACACCGAAAACGGUAGGGCUCGUUCGACUUUCAAAUUUUCAACAUUACAGACCGCUUGUAACACACGGAACAUUUUGUUAUACCUAUUAUAUUAAAAUAUUUGUGUUACCACAGGGGUAUCAAACUUAAAUUGCAUUUCGAAUUA